rnacentral:rRNA from 1 species
UACAGAGGUGGCAAGCGUUGUUCGGAAUUACUGGGCGUAAAGGGCGCGUAGGCGGUCUUGUCAGUCCCUUGUGAAAUCCCCCGGCUCAACUGGGGAACUGCACGGGAAACAGCAGGGCUUGAGUUCGGGAGAGGGAAGCGGAAUUCCCGGUGUAGCGGUGAAAUGCGUAGAGAUCGGGAGGAACAUCAGUGGCGAAGGCGGCCAUCUGGGACAACACUGACGCUGAAGCACGAAAGCGUGGGGAGCAAACAGG